GGUCUUCCUAAGCCAGGAUUCAGACACGGCUAGGACAUCCGGGUUGGCAGAGUGUGCUAAAGCAGUGAAUAAAACAAACUUAGGGAGGAGGCUUCUAAUGUUAACAUGCAUGAAACCAAGGCUUUUACGGUUACAGAAGUCAACAAAUGAGAGCACCUGGGGAGUAGGAGUGGAGCUAGGCACUGCAGGGCCUGGAUUAACCUCUACAUCACCAGAGGAACAGAGGAGGAGUAGGGGCCUGAGGCUCUUGGGCUGCAACUGAGGACCCCCUGGCCUGACACAUGGAUGUGCCUAGCCUCAUCCCACCUGGCCUCUUUCUCCCCACAUACCCAGAAAUUUGGAUUCCAUUACUUAGCAUGAUGUCUUUAUGAAAUGCUAUCUGACCAUAGGGUCUUGAAGUGUUAGUACUUUCUCUAUAGUCAUUAUGGAUAUUGUCUGAGCCUGCUGGCCAUUAAUACUGGCAUUGCUCUUUCCUUAUUGAAAUGGGG
rnacentral:lncRNA from 1 species